rnacentral:tRNA from 1 species
GCCGAGAUAGCUCAGUUGGUAGAGCGGCGGACCGAAAAUCCGUGCGCGAAGGUUCGAUUCCUUCUCUUGGCGCCA